UUUUUUUAAGCUCAAAAGCUCGCCACUUUAUUCAUUCACCUAUAGUUCAGUGAGACCACGAACCACCAGCAAGUUUACAAACUCAUGAGCACACCUAGUCUAUUACAUGAUCGAUGAGCAUACAUAAUGUUCACAGAAUAAAAAUGCGUAGAUAUAAAGAACUUGGCAUCCCUGAACAGCACACCUCCUGGUGCAAGAUCGUAAUCGCCUGAUUGCAGUGCCUCUGCGAGAACUUUGGGAAUCUGUUUCUAGACUGACGCUUGCAUGCCUUGGUGAGGCACCUCCUAGCAUCCCCUCCACUCUCCAGCUAGCCAACGAGCCU
rnacentral:lncRNA from 1 species